rnacentral:misc_RNA from 1 species
AAAACAAGAAGAAAAAUCUUCUUGAAGUCAGUACAAAUGAAGCAGAGAAGAAAAUACAGGAACUGAAUCUAAAACUUGAAAGUCUACAACGGAUAAAUGAGGGGCAGAAUGCGAGGAUCCGUAAAACCAAACGUGCUCUUCAAGUGGCAGAGGAAGAAAUGAUGAAGGCUAAAUUGGACGCUGCUUCUGUUUCUGAGCAGCUUGAGGAGGUUAAAAAAGGAUGGCUUCCACCUUGGCUUGCUGUUCAUCUUGUACAUUUUCGGUCAAUUGUUAUGACUUACUGGACUGAGCACGGAAGGCCAGCUUUGGAUCUGACCUUAAAAAAGGCCCUGGAGACCAAGUCUGAAGUAGUAAAGAUGGCAGAGCCUCAUAUUCAUUCAUUUAAAACAGAAUGGAUCCCAGCUAUGAAAAAG